UACGGAGGGGGCUAGCGUUGUUCGGAAUUACUGGGCGUAAAGCGUGCGUAGGUGGUGAGUUAAGUCUGUCGUGAAAGCCCCGGGCUCAACCUUUGAAAGCCGAUGGAUACUGUGAAGCUAGAGUACGGAAGAGGCGAGUGGAAUUCCUGGUGUAGCGGUGGAAUGCGCAGAUAUCAGGAGGAACACCAAUAGCGAAGGCAGCUCGCUGGGACGUUACUGACACUGAGGCGCGAAAGCGUGGGGAGCGAACAGG
rnacentral:rRNA from 1 species